rfam:Colletotrichum tofieldiae strain 0861 Ct_v4_contig156, whole genome shotgun sequence.
GGUCUGGUGGUGUAGUUGGUUAUCACGUCAGUCUAACAAGGCAGUCGACUUACUCUCGAAUCGUCCCGUCUCGUUCACUGAAGGUCUCCGGUUCAAGUCCGGGCUAGAUCA